rnacentral:rRNA from 1 species
GACGAACGCUGGCGGCGUGCUUAACACAUGCAAGUCGAGCGGAAAGGCCACUUCGAUGGUACUCGAGCGGCGAACGGGUGAGUAACACGUGAGUAAUCUGCCCCUGGCUUUGGGAUAGCCACCGGAAACGGUGAUUAAUACCGGAUACGACCACUUCUCGCAUGGGAUGGUGGUGGAAGGUUUUUCGGCGAGGGGUGUGCUCGCGGCCUAUCAGCUUGAUGGUGAGGUAGUGGCUCACCAUGGCUUCGACGGGUAGCCGGCCUGCGAGGGUGGACGGUGCCACUGGGACUGGGACACGGGCGAGAGUCCUACGGGAGGCAGGAGUGGGGAAUGUUGAACAAUGGGCGGAAGCCUGAUCCAGCAGCGCCGCGUGAGGGAUGGCGGCCUUCGGGUUGUAAACCUCUUUCAGCAGGGACGAAGUGCAAGUGACGGUACCAGCAGAAGAAGCACCGGCCAACUACGUGCCAGCCGCCGCCGUAA